AGAACAGAACAGAACAGCAGCCCAUGGAAUCCAAGUAAUGUGGCAUCCGGAAGUCCCCUCCAAGUGCAUGCAAAGACACAGAGACGGUGUCUUGCUAUGUUGCCCAGGUUCAUCUCAAACUCCUGGACUCAAGCAAUC